rnacentral:lncRNA from 1 species
ACACGAUCUCACUUGUCCUCGGAUGUUCAUCAUGUGAUCUUUUAUCAACACAACUGUGGCAGGGCCCUUGCUAACUUGCUCCCAUGUGAACCUGUGCUUGCCUACGUGUGGUAUGGCAGAAAUGCCGUGAACGCUUCUGACCUUGUCUUCUCAUUUUUAGGCAGGUGAUGUGACGACACUGAAUUGGUCCGGAACCCUGCCUGUGCUCCAUGCCAGCUACCAGUCCUAGGUUGGCACAUUCCAUUGGGGACAUCCAUGGGAGAGCUAUGGCCAUUAACAAGUCCUGAGACCUGAUCUGAUGCCAUCAGUGGCCCAGCUGCUCUACUGCCUCUCUUCCUGGAUCUCCUGCUUAUGACAACUGACAACAAAGAUAUUUGACUCCGGAAGAUGCUCCCCACAGCUCACCUGAGAGGACUAUCCAGUACCCCACCCCCACCCCCACUGUGCCCUGUGCCAUCCACCUCUGAGUCCCCAACUUUAAGUAGACCCUGCUUCUCACCCAUGUCCCAAUUCCCACCAGGAGCCUUGCAUUUCAGAUCUGAGCAGCCCUGGCUUAGAAUCCUGAAGUGGGGGUGGGUAGGCAGACCCCCGGGGACUGAGCAGGGAGGGGAAGGGGGUUCUGCUCUUGGCUUUCCAAGUUCUCGGUAUGUAUAGCCCUUUGAAUAAUAAACAUAUAUCAUAUAAUGUAAA